rnacentral:rRNA from 1 species
GACGAACGCUGGCGGCGUGCUUAACACAUGCAAGUCGAACGAGUGGCGAACGGGUGAGUAAUACGGGGGUAACCUGCCCUCUUUUUGGGAUAAGACUUGGAAACGGGGUCUAAUACCGAAUAAAGGGGGAUGGGCUCGCGGCCUAUCAGCUUGUUGGUGGGGUGAUGGCCUACCAAGGAGGGGACGGGUGGCCGGCCUGAGGGGGGGGCCGGCCACAUUGGGACUUGGAUACGGCCCAGACUCCUACGUGAGGCAGCAGGUGGGGAUAUUGCACAAUGGGCGAGAGCCUGAUGCAGCGCCGCCGCGUGGGUGAUGAAGGCUUUCGGGUUGUAAACCUCUUUCGCUCUCGAACGGGUAGGUGGCGAAGAAGCGCCGGCUAACUACGUGCCAGCAGCCGCGGUAAUAC